AAUGAACGUUGGCGGCAUGGAUUAGGCAUGCAAGUCGAGCGAGAAGGGUUUUGAAGCUUGCUUUAGAACCCGGACAGCGGCGAAAGGGAGAGUAACGCGUAGUUAUGUGCCCUAGGGUCCGGAAUAGCCACGGGAAACUGUGGGUAAUGCCGGAUAACAUCCCCGGAUCAAAGGUGUGAUUCCGCCCUAGGAGCAGACUGCGUCCUACUAGCUAGUUGGUGGGGUAAUGGCCCACCAAGGCAAUGAUGGGUAGCGGGUGUGAGAGCAUGACCCGUCUCACUGGGACUGAGACACUGCCCAGACACCUACGGGUGGCUGCAGUCGAGAAUCUUCGGCAAUGGGCGAAAGCCUGACCGAGCGAUGCCGCGUGCGGGAUGAAGGCCCUCGGGUUGUAAACCGCUGUCGUAGGGGAGGAAGGUUCCGUGAAGAGCGGAAUUUGACCUAUCCUAGGAGGAAGUACGGGCUAAGUUCGUGCCAGCCGCCGCCGUAAUAC
rnacentral:rRNA from 1 species